rnacentral:rRNA from 1 species
CGGGUGAGUAACGCGUGGGUAACCUGCCUCGUACAGGGGGAUAACAGUUAGAAAUGACUGCUAAUACCGCAUGAGCGCACGGUGCUGCAUGGCACAGUGUGAAAAACUCCGGUGGUAUGAGAUGGACCCGCGUCUGAUUAGCUAGUUGGUGGGGUAACGGCCUACCAAGGCGACGAUCAGUAGCCGGCCUGAGAGGGUGAACGGCCACAUUGGGACUGAGACACGGCCCAA